CUCAUGGCUUGUCUCUUAGAUUUUUUUCUUUUUUUUUUUUGUUUUUUUUUUUUUUUUCCUUUUCUUGCUGCUCUGAGUUUCUGAAUAUAGUGGAUGUGUGUUCUUUUGCUAUAAUUUCUCUGACCAAAGAUGGGUCUAGCUUUUCUUUGUCACAUUCCUCUUGUUUCUGGUUAUAUAGUACAUGCAAUUAUCUUUCAUUUUUUUGGUUUUUUUUUUUUUUUUUUUUUCGUUUUUCUGUUUAUGAUGUUGAAGGGGGUUUUUAAUGAUAUACUGACUGUGAUCGGAUAUUUAGGAAAAAGGUUGGCCUCUGGGUUUGCACCCCCUGAAUAUGAAAGUUGGGUUACCUAAAAAUGGUGAUUUUUCUGGAUCAGUAUCAUUCAACACUUUACUCACUGGUUCUCCUACUUCCUCAACAAAUUCCUCUUCAUCAAAUUUAAACACUGAGGUCAGUAAAAUAUGGCAAAAACUUUGAUGUAAAAAAAAUAAGCAUAUAUGUGUAUAUAUAAAUAUAUAUAUAACCUUCAACAUUAAUCUUUAGGUGGGUUCACUUUAGGAUUUUCAGUUUCC
rnacentral:lncRNA from 1 species